rnacentral:sRNA from 1 species
AGAUUCAAAUCCAAAAACUCAUACGGACUUCGACUACACCAUCAAAGCUUUGAGAAGCAAGAAGAAGCUUAGUUAGCGUUUUUGGUGUGAUAUAUGACUAGAUGUUGUGUGUAUGAUAGAGUAUAAGAACUUGUAACGCAACUGGAUCCCAAAAGAUAAAGUAGUGUUUCCUUGUCAGAAGAUUCAAAACCAAAAACAUCAUACGGACUUUGGCUACACCAUCAAAGCUUUAAGAAGCAAAAUAAGCUAGAACCGCUUAUUUGGGAGU